ACCCAUGAAUACUUCUUCUUCUUCUGUAGUAUUUGGCGGCUGGACAUGCUGGAGGAUACCCAGCAACGCUUCGUCUGACAUCAUCGUGAAACGGGCUAAUUAGGUAGGCUUGUGUGUUAUUGCUGCCGCUAGUCAGAGACAGAGCUCUGGCCUUGGGUGUGGCUAAGGGACUCUAUAGCGCCACCUAGCCUAUUGUCUGUUGUGGUUGACACAUACAUUGAUGAAAAUUAACCAAGUUUGGUUAGCAUGUGUUUUGCUCAUGCAUAUUCCCACCAACAAGUAGGUGUUGCUUUGUUAGAUUCUGAAAUGUCACAGGUCCGCACCGCAGGUGCUCAGGCCCACCAUCGCCGCUUGCGGCUAUAUUUAUUAUUAUUAUUAUUAUAGUGGAAUCCUCUUACGCUCCAUGUUUGGCCUUUUUUCACCAACUUGGCAUGCUCUAAAACUCUUGUAAUUUGGCUGCUCCAUGUGGAAUUGGUAAGGCUACUCAGAACAAGAGUUCUGGCCUAGGGGAGUAGCUUGUGGCUGCAGACUGCAGGACAAGCAAGUUGGAUAUCCAACUCCGCCCACAUCCAAGUCGGCCAUGUUGAUUUACGUCACAUGCCCAAACGUGAACAGCAGCUUUUCUACUGACUAUGGACGGCAGACUAACGUUACAGCGCACCCAACACACUUCCUGUCCUGCCAACGAGAAAUAUCUAGAGGGGAUAGAGAUGCCCGUGCUGCAGCUUUUCCACAGGCCAUGAAUAUAAAUUCAAGGGCCAUACCAUAACCACAUGCAACAUGCUGUACAUCAUGGAGGCUACUACAUCUGUAAGUGGAACCGACCGUGUAGGUCAACAUGCCCAGCCGUUUUGUCCAUGAAGAGGACAGACAUCAGGUGUUACUAAAUGGGGACGAUG